CAAGUCUUUUUUAUUAUCUCCCGCGAAAACCCCAUUAGUCUCGGUACGUUUCGGUAGUUUAACCGGAUAUAUCAGUGGCGACGAGGAAAAAUUUUGUAUUCGGUGCGGCAGAUGCUAUACGGAUAGUGAAACAUUUCCGAAUUUUGCUCCAAUCACCGUCGGAAACACCAUCGCUAUUAACGACGGGCGGACUGUUUCGCCGCUCGCUUAACAGAUAUAGUGAAAAAAGGUGUAAUCGAAGUGCUAAUUAAUGGGCGUCGUUUCAGUAGUGACAAAAGCACAUUUGCUAACUGAACCACCAUUUGGGUUUUUGGCGUGGUUUUUCCCGCAACAAUAGAACCAAAUUCUUAAAACUUAAUACGGUUUCUUUCUUUAGAAAGUGGUGUAAAGUUCAGCAAUUAUAUUCUAAACUAUUAAGAGUGUUUCUUUUUAUUUAAAACAGAAGUUCAUCGUUCUGCACGGCGGAAGAAUUGUGCCGCGAAAAUCGGUUUUAAUCAGGGUCCACUUCUCGAUUGAUCGAUUUAUCGGGCACACUACGGACAGCAGGAGAAAUUGAACAGCAGCCAAACCUUUGUUGCUGCGGCUUUUGUUUCACCCCGUCCGGGAGGUUUGAUGUUUGUUCGUGGCAACAGGUAAAAGUAGCGGAUCAAAAGGAUCAUGAUUGAAAGCGAAGCGACAACCACCGUCCAUCUCACUCAACUACGACUCGCUAAUGAUGGACGCGGCAUGCCAAGGCGAUCGAUGCGUGUGGUCGAGACUGGUCGGCCGCUACUGACUGACGACGACACAUCCGUGGCUGGUCGGCCGUUACUGACUACCGCAGAAUCCACGAGGGCAUCCGUACAUGACGACACUUUCUGGCAGUUACCAGAUCUGAGCGCGAGACAGACCCCAACGCUAUCGGAAGUGAUUCAGUUAUUAAAUAGAAAUAUGAGUAGGAAAAGAAAAUUUCCAUCAGAACUGGUAGCGCUUUCUGGCCUACCUUGGCGGUCUAAGAGACCUAGAGUAGAAGUAAGUUCGAAUAUGUUUCAUAAUGAAUAUUUGUUCAUUCUGAAUUAUUGUUCUUUCCGAAGGGGGAAGAGCUAUUGUAUAUUGUAAA